AUGGUACUCCCUCCGUUCGGAAUUACUUGUCGCAGAAAUGGAUGUAUCUAGACGCAUUUUAGUUCUAGAUACAUCCAUUUCCGAGACAAGUAAUUCCGAACGGAGGGAGUAACUU
rnacentral:pre_miRNA from 1 species